GACGAACGCUGGCGGCGUGCUUAACACAUGCAAGUCGAACGGUGAAGCCCUUCGGGGUGGAUCAGUGGCGAACGGGUGAGUAACACGUGAGCAACCUGCCCCUGGCUCUGGGACAACCACUGGAAACGGUGGCUAAUACCGGAUACGACCCGCCUCGGCAUCGAGUGUGGGUGGAAAGUUUUUCGGCUGGGGAUGGGCUCGCGGCCUAUCAGCUUGUUGGUGAGGUGAAGACUCACCAAGGCGACGACGGGUAGCCGGCCUGAGAGGGCGACCGGCCACACUGGGACUGAGACACGGCCCAGACUCCUACGGGAGGCAGCAGUGGGGAAUAUUGCACAAUGGGCGAAAGCCUGAUGCAGCGACGCCGCGUGAGGGAUGACGGCCUUCGGGUUGUAAACCUCUUUCAGCUCCGAAGAAGCGAAAGUGACGGUAGGAGCAGAAGAAGCACCGGCUAACUACGUG
rnacentral:rRNA from 1 species